UACAGAGGGUGCGAGCGUUGUUCGGAAUUAUUGGGCGUAAAGGGCUCGUAGGCGGUUUGUCGCGUCGGGAGUGAAAACCCAGGGCUUAACCCUGGGCUGGCUUUCGAUACGGGCAGACUAGAGGUAUGCAGGGGAGAACGGAAUUCCUGGUGUAGCGGUGAAAUGCGCAGAUAUCAGGAGGAACACCGGUGGCGAAGGCGGUUCUCUGGGCAUUACCUGACGCUGAGGAGCGAAAGUGUGGGGAGCGAACAGG
rnacentral:rRNA from 1 species